GACGAACGCUGGCGGCGUGCUUAACACAUGCAAGUCGAACGAAGUGGCGAACGGGUGAGUAACGCGUAAGCAACCUGCCCUUCAGAGGGGAACAACAGUUGGAAACGACUGCUAAUACCGCAUACUGAAGGAGGGGAUUGCGUCGGAUUGGCUAGUUGGAGGGGUAACGGCCCACCAAGGCGAUGAUCAGUAGCCGGGCUGGGGGGAUGGACGGCCACAUUGGGACUGGGACACGGCCCAGACUCCUACGGGAGGGAGCAGUGGGGAAACUUUCGAAAUGGACGAAAGGCUGACGGAGCAACGCCGCGUGAGUGAUGAAGGCCUUCGGGGUGUAAAGCUCUGUUAAGCGGGACGCGGUACCGGAAUAGAAAGCAACGGCUAACUACGUGCCAGUAGCCGCGGUAAUUC
rnacentral:rRNA from 1 species